UAUGGCCAUAUCAUAUUGAAACACAAGUUCUCGUACGAUCGGCGAAGUUAAGUAACGCCGAUCUUAGUCAGUACCUAGAUGGGUGACCGCUUAGGAAUACCAGGUUCUGUAAG